rnacentral:rRNA from 1 species
GCCACCAUUUAAAGAAAGCGUAAUAGCUCACUGGUCGAGUCGGCCUGCGCGGAAGAUGUAACGGGGCUAAACCAUGCACCGAAGCUGCGGCAGCGACAUGAAUGUGUUGUUGGGUAGGGGAGCGUUCUGUAAGCCGUUGAAGGUGGCCUGUGAGGGUUGCUGGAGGUAUCAGAAGUGCGAAUGCUGACAUAAGUAACGAUAAAGCGGGUGAAAAACCCGCUCGCCGGAAGACCAAGGGUUCCUGUCCAACGUUAAUCGGGGCAGGGUGAGUCGACCCCUAAGGCGAGGCCGACAGGCGUAGUCGAUGGGCAACAGGUUAAUAUUCCUGUACCCGGUGUGACUGCGAAGGGGGGACGGAGAAGGCCAGGCCAGCCGGGCGACGGUCGUCCCGGUUAAAGCGUGUAGGUGGGUGGUUUUGGUAAAUCCGGACCGCUGAUAACACUGAGGCGUGAUAACGAGGCACUGCGGUGCUGAAGUGGUUGAUGCCCUGCUUCCAGGAAAAGCCUCUAAGCAUCAGGUCACAUUGGAUCGUACCCCAAACCGACACAGGUGGUCAGGUAGAGAAUACUCAGGCGCUUGAGAGAACUCGGGUGAAGGAACUAGGCAAAAUGGUGCCGUAACUUCGGGAGAAGGCACGCUGGCGGCAGGUGAAGGAACGUGCUUCCGGAGCCGAGGCCAGUCGCAGAGACCAGCUGGCUGCAACUGUUUAAUAAAAACACAGCACUGUGCAAACACGCAAGUGGACGUAUACGGUGUGACGCCUGCCCGGUGCCGGAAGGUUAAUUGAUGGGGUUAUCCUGCGGGAGAAGCUCCUGAUCGAAGCCCCGGUAAACGGCGGC